GGAGAGAGGGAGUGGUAGUACUUAAGCAGUAGAGUCUCUUGAUUGUAUCCGAUAUGAGACUUUCGGGCUCAAUGCCCCCGAUGUCCAUCCCACAACAGCUGUCAUCAAGAAACAUACUUCAUCAAGAACUUACCUGUGAACUCUAUAUGAUGAUUGAUGAGAACCUGGAUCAUUGUCUCUUCUCGUGCCCACGGAUUCAGCCAAUUUGGGUAACCUUAAAUCAAACACAUCUUGCUCAUCAUCAUGUUAACUCAUUGGCGAACAUUAUUGAUCUGUUAGCUUCUGACAUGAUGUCCGAUCAGUAGAAAUCCAUAACCUGUUACACACUGUGGUGCAUUUGGAACUAAGGAACAGCCAUAUAUUUCAAGGUUCACAGUAUUCUCACUCUACCAUUUUUUCCACGGCCCUCAGGUAUGUUUCAGAAUAUGCAUCUGCAGCGAAUAAUGCUUUCUUGUCCAAUGAUUCACAGCUCUGGAUUACCGACGGCUCUGUGAGCCCAUCCUCAUUUGUGUCUUGGGUACCCCCUCCCUCUGAUCUUGUCAAGAUAAAUUUUGACGCAUCUUGGGUGGCUGGCAAGUCUGAUCUUGGGUUCAUCAUCCGAGAUCACUACAGGGUUGUUCUAUAUGCAGCAUCUGGUAUUUCCUCUACUUCAUCCAUGCCCGAGGUUGAAUUACAGGCCGCUUGGUGUGCCAUUACCACAGUGGUUUACAAUCUUGGCUAUACACGUAUAUGGCUGGAGGGCAGUUCACUGACUGUCAUUAAUUGGAUCAGGACACAUCUCAACAAACACUGGUUUUAUAGGAAUAACACUCCGGCUGUGCCUUUGUUAUUUGAUAUGAUCCAGUGCUCUUCCAUAUUGGAUGCUUUCAAAAUCUCCCAUGUCCUACGGAAAGCUAACCAACCAGCUAAUCGUCUCGCAAGCCUUCACUGUCAUCAAGAGUUUGCCUCAACUUUCCUACUGCUGCAGUCUGAUUGUAAUGCCGUGUUUGCUGAUUUUGCUGGGACUAUUUUCCUCAAGCGCUACUUUAAUUUGAACUUCUUUUCUGCUUCCUUGGGCUUUGUCCCUCUCUUAUACCAAAAAAAAAAAAGUACAAAAAAAGGACGCACAUGAAUACGGUGAACCCGAUAGUAACUCUAUGCGGCGUACGCCUGCUUGAGCGGCUACGAGCCUGGCAUAGAACGAGAAUUUUCUUUUUUUUUUUUUUUUUGAUAAAAUAGAAUGUUGCCUUCAAAAAUACUAUUCGGUAGGAGUUCCCCGGCAUCUCUUGAGAAUCACAGCCACUCUCUGUUUCCAUGUUUAAAUCAUAUGAAGUACCUAAAGUCAAGCAAAUAAUCAAAAUUCGAAAAAACUCAUCCAAUCCAAUCCAAUAAACAUCGAUUUCGAUCAAUCGAAAGACAUAAAUCAAAUUAAAAUUUAUAAAAAUUUAAUUAUUUAUAAUCAAAUUCAAUUUCUAUAUUUUUAAACUGUAUGACAUCGAACUCAAUCGAUGUAAUAUUUCACAAACUCAUUUUUAUUUUAAAAUAAUAUUAUUUAAAUUUUUAAUAUUUCAUUCUAAAAAAAUACCAUGUCAUUCAUUUGAAUUCAUGAAAAUAUUAAUAUUAAAUUAUUAAUAAAAAUAUAUUAAUUUGAGAUAAUUCUAAAAUAAAAAUUUUUAAAUAUAGUUACUUCUGAUGAGUAAAUUUUUUUUUUUGUUUUGUUUUGCACAUAUUCAAAAAUAAAUCCAAAUUUUAUAACUUAUAAGAUUUAAAUUUUUUUUUACAUUAAAUUGAUAAAAAAAUAAAUAAACUUAAAUAAAUUAAUAUUGAACUUAAAACCUAUAUUGGAUCAAUAUUGAAACUCAAACCAACACAACCCAUCCAAAUUUGCUACAAACUAUUCACUUUGGUUUCCAACAAUUUACACAUAAUAAACAAUCGACAAUGAGUUGAAUUUUCUUCAAUCCGAUUGAAAUCAGUCAUCUAAAAUUUUUCUCAAUCUGAUCGAAUCAGAUCUAUGCUCAACCCAAAAAGUACCAAACUUUCUCUCUGAGGUUGGCAGACGGUAUUUGUUGGUGCAAGAAAGGUGAUAAAGCCGGCACCUAGGUCAUGUACAAAACCUUCAGCAUGACUUGCAAUAUUCCACUAAUCUGAAUGAAAUUUGCCUUUGUGCAAAUGUACAUGCGUUAGUUAUCUUCCAGGUUUAUAAAGACAGCAAGCUUUAUUGGCACAACGAAAUUCCCAUCCAGCUGAUGAAAAGUAGACUUAUCUAUUAUCAUUUAUUGAAUGCAUGUUUUUUAACUUACCAUUCGAUCAAACUUUGAAGAUAUUACUGGCUUUCCAAACAAACCUUUGUAACUAAAUAGCAAAUCCAAAAAAAAAACAUUCAUUUUGAUAAACUUGAAAAUUCAUGCAAGAGUCAACAAAUCACAUUAUUUUUUAUCUCUGCUGUAUAAACUACUGAAGUCACAAAAGCGACAUAAAUAGCACCAAUAUUUCGAAAUGAAUAAACCUCAUCUAACUAGCAGACAGGCCUAGUCAGGACUUGUCUACCCAUCAACUUAUUCAUGCUGGAUUUCUUUCGGGGUACAGGCAUGCUGGAUUUCAAUAAUCUCCACAAAACUGCGAUACCUUAGCUAGCAUCUUAGUGAGCAGAGUCUCGGCUGUAGUACUGAUCCAAGGUCUUUGCAGGAAUGCGAUGGAGAAGCUCACGGGGAAAGAUGCGUAGAAGUGUCCAUGCAAGAUCAAGUGAUUGGAAGAUAUUGCGAGUAUCAUAUGCCCCUUGAGUAACAAACUUCCUUUCAAACUUGUCCAGGAACUCAAGGUAUAACUGUGUUUUCAUCAAAUUAAUAAACACAAUUAGUACAAUCCAUAAGAUAGGGAACACACCUAUAUUGAUGCAGGCACAUAUCUGAAAUGCACAGAUAUUUUGAUUCUAAGAUUUAAAACAUGUAUGUGGGUUCCAAGAAUUAAAAUCUGUUUGUGUUCUUAAAUGAGAGAAACUCGUGUUUGCAUGUUAGAGAAAGAGAAAGAGACCAUGCCCAUCAAAGAAGGGGGUUCCUGCUUCAUUCAGUAUGACAUGCACAUGCAUGCAGACACACAACUACAGAGAGAGAUUACUGGAUAAUCCUUAGAUAAGCUCCCAUAUUACUCACAUGGUCAUUACUGGCAAAUCAAUCUGAAGAAUCCAGUCUUGUCUACAGGGUCCAAUGGAUGGAUUUAGUUGGGUUGUUGAACCAGCUCAUAUACCGAGCUUCUUUCAGACACCAAGCCACACAUAUAUGCAAUGAUUGCUAGACAAAACCAUUCAGAUUGAUCUAAAUGUUCAUCAAUUUGUUGGUUUAUGACCGGGACAGGUUUUCCUCAAGCAAUAGACAAAACCACAUAUGCGGAUGUGCACAUGGGAGUGCGUGUGUGUGUGUGUGUGAGAGAGAGAGAGAGAGAGAGAGAGCGAGCUUCUUUUACAACUUAGAAAAUCCAGAACAAACAUGAUUGCAUUAAACACUAGACUGACAUGAAUGACAUAAACCACACAUAUAUGCAAUGAUUGUCAGAUAAAACCAUUCAAAUUGAUCUAAGUGUUCAUCAAUUUGUUGGUUUAUGAUAGGCACGGUUUUCCUUAAGAAAUUGACAAAACCACAUGUGCGGAUGUGCACAUAGAAAUAUGUGUGUGUGUGUGUGUGUGUGUGAGAGAGAGAGAGAGAGAGAGACCAAA
rnacentral:lncRNA from 1 species